rnacentral:misc_RNA from 1 species
AGUUUGUCUAACAUUCUGGCAUUGCAAAAGAAUAGUAGUCGGUUAAAAACUAACCUAACCCCAACUUGUAUUAUGGUCCGAUAAUCAAUUUUCAUAGUGGUAUGUGAGGCAACACUAGCCUGGUGCCAACGCCUAAUGAUGGUAGACAAUAAAGUAGAAUGCAUCCAAAGAGUGGCCUGCGUGACAUCAGUAGGUUGCCUACCCAGAACUUAACCGACAAUAAGAUGCAAAAUAGUCACAAAGCAUCGAGUUGGGGAAACCUAGCCUGAUGUCAAGUAACAAUAUGUCCUCAAACAGUCCUAUGCAAAA